GAUGAACGCUAGCGGCAGGCUUAAUACAUGCAAGUCGAGGGGCAGCAGCUUUAUAGCAAUAUAGAGGCUGGCGACCGGCAAACGGGUGCGGAACACGUACACAACCUUCCUUUAAGAGGGGGAUAGCCCAUAGAAAUGUGGAUUAAUACCCCGUAACAUAUCGGUGUGGCAUCCCACUGUUAUCAUAGUUUCGACGCUUGAAGAUGGGUGUGCGGCUGAUUAGGUAGUUGGCGGGGUAAAGGCCCACCAAGCCUUCGAUCAGUAGCUGAUGUGAGAGCAUGAUCAGCCACACGGGCACUGAGACACGGGCCCGACUCCUACGGGAGGCAGCAGUAAGGAAUAUUGGUCAAUGGACGCAAGUCUGAACCAGCCAUGCCGCGUGAAGGAUGAAGGUCCUCUGGAUUGUAAACUUCUUUUAUAGGGGGCGAAAAAAGGGAAUUCUUUCUCACUUGACAGUACCCUAUGAAUAAGCACCGGCUAACUCCGUGCCAGCCGCCGCCGUAA
rnacentral:rRNA from 1 species